rnacentral:rRNA from 1 species
GAUGAACGCUGGCUACAGGCUUAACACAUGCAAGUCGAGGGGAAACGACGGGGAAGCUUGCUUCCCCGGGCGUCGACCGGCGCACGGGUGAGUAACGCGUAUCCAACCUGCCUCUGACUGAGGGAUAACCCGUCGAAAGUCGGCCUAAUACCCCAUGGCACCGCCUGCGGGCAUCCAACGACGAUUAAAGAUUUCAUCGGUCAGAGAUGGGGAUGCGUUUGAUUAGCUUGUUGGCGGGGUAACGGCCCACCAAGGCGACGAUCAGUAGGGGUUAUGAGGGGAAGGCCCCCCGGAUUGGAGCCAAGGCACAGUCCAAAAUCCUACGGAGGGGAGGGGUAGGGAAGAUUGGGGGAUGGGCGAGGGCCUGAACCAGCCGAGUGGCGUGCAGAGUGACGGGCCUAUGGAUUGUAAACUGCUUUUAAGGGAGGGUAGAGUGAGGGACGUGUCCUUCAUUGCAGGUACCGAAUGAAUAAGGACCGGCUAAUUCCGUG